UACGUAGGGUGCGAGCGUUGUCCGGAAUUACUGGGCGUAAAGAGCUCGUAGGUGGUUUGUCGCGUUGUUCGUGAAAACUCACAGCUUAACUGUGGGCGUGCGGGCGAUACGGGCAGACUGGAGUACUGCAGGGGAGACUGGAAUUCCUGGUGUAGCGGUGAAAUGCGCAGAUAUCAGGAGGAACACCGGUGGCGAAGGCGGUUCUCUGGGCAUGUCCUGACGCUGAGGAGCGAAAGUGUGGGGAGCGAACAGG
rnacentral:rRNA from 1 species